rnacentral:misc_RNA from 1 species
GUUGAAGAAUUUACUGCUCAGAUGCGUGCUGUAUCUAAGAUCGCAUUGCACCGUCGUUCUAAUUUAGCCCUUUUUCUUGAGAUGAACGGUAUUCUUGCAGACAUCUAUUUCAUGCACAUCCUAUAUCAUUCACACAUUUUUGUAUUCAAACACUUGUGCAUACAUGCUAAGUGUAUUUGUAAACUAAAUUCACACCUAAUACUUAUCCUACGUCCCAAACCAACAUGAUAUGUUUGAUUAAAAUAUGAUGAACUAAUAUCUCAAACUCGGCAGAGAGAUUAUGUGGGGCC